CAAAGAUGCAUCCUCAUUUAAUAGAGCUUGAAAUUACUAUAAUCUGUAAAGUACAGCGAGAAGAAGAAGUUUCACCUGCCUGCACAUCUGUCGUUGACUCUCCAUCUGACUUGGAGGGACUCUGAGGGACCAACCUGAGCCUGAGAAGAGGCAAGAUUCCCCUUCAAGGACACACUGGGAACUUACGGACCUCUUUCUCCAUGGUGCAGAGCGCAGAGGUGAACAAACAGACGCAUAAUAGCUCUUGAGCUUGCCAUUGGGAAGUGAAAAUCAACUGCUUGAAUAAAUGUAAGGACUCAGGUAAGAUAC
rnacentral:lncRNA from 1 species